UACGUAGGGUGCAAGCGUUGUCCGGAAUUAUUGGGCGUAAAGAGCUCGUAGGCGGUUUGUCGCGUCUGCUGUGAAAUCCCGAGGCUCAACCUCGGGUCUGCAGUGGGUACGGGCAGACUGGAGUGCGGUAGGGGAGAAUGGAAUUCCUGGUGUAGCGGUGAAAUGCGCAGAUAUCAGGAGGAACACCGAUGGCGAAGGCAGGUCUCUGGGCAUUAAUUGACGCUGAGGAGCGAAAGCAUGGGGAGCGAACAGG
rnacentral:rRNA from 1 species